AUGAUGAGGCAUUAAAGAAGAGGAGGAGUGUCUCAAGGGAGGUGAGCUGGAGGUGAUGCAAGGAUGUCUGAUCUGAAAGCAUGUUGUGGUCCGCUACACACAAGAGCAAAAGAAGAGCAGGAAGGAGCUCAGUGCCAAGACCAUAGCCACAGGAAGAAAACCAGCUCUUAGGGCUGCAGCUCUAAAGACAGGCCAGGUCAUUACAGGAACGUCUGCUCCCUUAGCCUUGCCAGACAGAGGAGGGUUAAGAAAGGAACUGCUGACCCUGAUAUGCAAACUGCCACGAGUGCUUCCUGCCUUUCUAUCAGCAUCAGAUGGCUAGCGAUGGAUGGCUGUGGAGAGAGGAUGCCAGACAGAUAUUUGAGCAGAACAAAGAGAGCCAACAGGAUGAAGGCAUUCCCUGGCUGGUUGGACAAGCAACUGAAGAACAGGAACAGAAGUGAAUGAAAAGAGAAGAUGCUGUGUUUGUGUUUUCUCUUGGUUAGAAUGCUGUGAGUCAGGACCUUAGCUGCUGGGUGUCCUGGGACUGCCUUCGAUGAAGAACCUGAGGCUCACCUUGCUUAAGUGACUU
rnacentral:lncRNA from 1 species